rnacentral:piRNA from 1 species
UCUUACAAUUGCUUUGGUGAGACAUUCCC